GUUAGUUCCGUUGGUGAUUUGAAGUUACCUCUAUCGUUUUGUAUUGCGACGAUUACUUGCG
rnacentral:tRNA from 1 species